rnacentral:rRNA from 1 species
UGGGGAAUAUUGCACAAUGGGCGGAAGCCUGAUGCAGCGACGCCGCGUGAGGGAUGACGGCCUUCGGGUUGUAAACCUCUUUCAGCAGGGACGAAGCGUAAGUGACGGUACCUGCAGAAGAAGCGCCGGCCAACUACGUGCCAGCAGCCGCGGUAAGACGUAGGGCGCGAGCGUUGUCCGGAUUUAUUGGGCGUAAAGAGCUCGUAGGCGGCUUGUCGCGUCGACGGUGAAAACCCGCGGCUCAACUGCGGGCCUGCAGUCGAUACGGGCAGGCUAGAGUUCGGUAGGGGAGACUGGAAUUCCUGGUGUAGCGGUGAAAUGCGCAGAUAUCAGGAGGAACACCGGUGGCGAAGGCGGGUUGCUGGGCUGACACUGACGCUGAGGCGCGAAAGCUAGGGGAGCGAA